GAUGAACGCUGGCGGCGUGCCUAACACAUGCAAGUCGAGCGAACAGACGAGGAGCUUGCUCCUCUGACGUUAGCGGCGGACGGGUGAGUAACACGUGGAUAACCUACCUAUAAGACUGGGAUAACUUCGGGAAACCGGAGCUAAUACCGGAUAAUAUAUUGAACCGCAUGGUUCAAUAGUGAAAGACGGUUUUGCUGUCACUUAUAGCUGGAUCCGCGCCGCAUUAGCUAGUUGGUAAGGUAACGGCUUACAAAGGCAACGAUGCGUAGCCGACCUGAGAGGGUGAUCGGCCACACUGGAACUGAGACACGGUCCAGACUCCUACGGGAGGCAGCAGUAGGGAAUCGUCCGCAAUGGGCGAAAGCCUGACGGAGCAACGCCGCGUGAGUGAUGAAGGUCUUCGGAUCGUAAAACUCUGUUAUUAGGGAAGAACAAAUGUGUAAGUAACUAUGCACGUCUUGACGGUACCUAAUCAGAAAGCCACGGCUAACUACGUG
rnacentral:rRNA from 1 species